UCCGGUUUGUCACCGGCAGUUCAAACCCCGGUAAGGUUCUUCGCGUUGCGUCGAAUUAAACCACAUGCUCCACCGCUUGUGCGGGCCCCCGUCAAUUCCUUUGAGUUUUAAUCUUGCGGUCGUACUCCCCAGGCGGAAUGCUUAAUGCGUUAGCUGCGCCACCGAAGAGCAUGCUCUCCAACGACUGGCAUUCAUCGUUUACGGCGUGGACUAC
rnacentral:misc_RNA from 1 species